CUCCCGGUCGGUUUAAUGCUUAUCAUUCUCAGGAGCGCGUGUUCGCAGCAUGAUAAAAACCCCUGCGCUCAGCUUUGCUGAGGCUGCAGAACCCCUAAUUUUCCAUGUACGUUCUAAGCUGAAGGAAGGCCAUGGCGCCGUGUCCCCGGCCAGCUCUGUGCCUUCUGCCUGGUGCAGCCCAUCUGUGUCCCGACCAUGUGAAGAACCCAUUUCACAGGAGAGGAGACUGAGGCCCACAGAGGUGAAUGGCGCCCAAGGCCAUGGGAGGGGGCUUCGUGCAACACAGGACUAGAACCAAGUCCCCGAGGGCGUGCCAGGUGCAGGGACACCGUGAACAGAACGUGCAGUUCCAGAUGUCCUGGCAUGGAUGCUGGAGUGGAGAGGCAGCAAGAAACAGCCAUGGAGGCUGGAGGGGCAAGUGCUGGAGAAACAGGACAAGGCUGAGCAGGGCUGGUGGAGGCGGGAGGUGGGAGCGCGGAGGCAGGACAGCUGCAGCCACAGCACCGGGCGCCAUGGGGAAGAGGCUGCCCCGAUGUGGGAUGCUCAGAACAUUUCAGCAGGUGCACAAAGCAGGAUGCAGGGCGGCGUGCCGUGCAUCCCCACCUGGGUGAAGGACCGAGCAGCCCCACCCUCUACAAUGAACCCUGGCCAGAGCCUCACCUGGGCCACAUGGCUCUGUGCCCUCCGUGUCCUUCCUGAAGCUCCCACUGCGAGAGUCCGGCCACCCCGUCCCCUCUCCAGCCUGCAAGAAGCCUCUUCCCCACCAGCAGGAAAGGGUCACCACCCCACAUCGGCACCCCUCCUCCCUCUCGAAAAAGUGAAUACUGCCUGGCAGCAGAUAGGACGAUCUGGGGCAGGAGGCGCUUGGGGGAGAGAACUGGGACCCAUCAGCUGAGCUUGAUAAGGGGCCCGCUGAAAUGUUAGCAAAAAUAUUUAGACAAUAAAUGAAGU